rnacentral:rRNA from 1 species
GUUGUAUAGUCAAGUAAUUAAGUGCAUGUGGUGGAUGCCUUGGCAGUCAGAGGCGAUGAAAGACGUGAUAGCCUGCGAAAAGCUCCGGGGAGGCGGCAAAUAUCCUGUGAUCCGGAGAUGUCUGAAUGGGGAAACCCACUUACCAUAAGGUAGGUAUUGCAUGAUGAAUACAUAGUCAUGCAAGGCGAACGAGGGGAAGUGAAACAUCUCAGUACCCUUAGGAAAAGAAAUCAAUUGAGAUUCCCU